AAGACUAUACUUUCAGUGAUCAUUUCUAUAGUUUGUCACUAGAGAAGUUCCUCUGAAUGUAUAGAGCACUCGAAACCAUAAGGACAAGGUGCAGCGUUCUCUCCUGAGUGUGAAGCUGGCUUUUGAUGUUGCUUUUGCAGCUGCCACCAGCCAUUGAUGAUUGCUCUUCUCUUCCACUGGGAGAGUAAGAGAGAGAGGAUGCAGUCUGAGUGGU
rnacentral:snoRNA from 1 species